GACGAACGCUGGCGGCGUGCCUAAUACAUGCAAGUAGAACGCUGAAGAGAGGAGCUUGCUCUUCUUGGAUGAGUUGCGAACGGGUGAGUAACGCGUAGGUAACCUGCCUUGUAGCGGGGGAUAACUAUUGGAAACGAUAGCUAAUACCGCAUAACAAUGGAUGACACAUGUCAUUUAUUUGAAAGGGGCAAUUGCUCCACUACAAGAUGGACCUGCGUUGUAUUAGCUAGUAGGUGAGGUAAUGGCUCACCUAGGCGACGAUACAUAGCCGACCUGAGAGGGUGAUCGGCCACACUGGGACUGAGACACGGCCCAGACUCCUACGGGAGGCAGCAGUAGGGAAUCUUCGGCAAUGGGGGCAACCCUGACCGAGCAACGCCGCGUGAGUGAAGAAGGUUUUCGGAUCGUAAAGCUCUGUUGUAAGUCAAGAACGAGUGUGAGAGUGGAAAGUUCACACUGUGACGGUAGCUUACUAGAAAGGGACGGCUAACUACGU
rnacentral:rRNA from 1 species